CGAAGAACCUUACCUACCCUUGACAUCCAGAGAAUCUGUUAGAGAUAGUAGAGUGCCUUCGGGAGCUCUGAGACAGGUGCUGCAUGGCUGUCGUCAGCUCGUGUCGUGAGAUGUUGGGUUAAGUCCCGUAACGAGCGCAACCCUUAUCCUUAGUUGCCAGCAGGUCAUGCUGGGAACUCUAGGGAGACUGCCGGUGAUAAACCGGAGGAAGGUGGGGAGGACGUCAAGUCAUCAUGGCCCUUAUGGGUAGGGCUACACACGUGCUACAAUGGCCGGUACAGAGGGCAGCAAACUUGCGAGAGUGAGCAAAUCCCAGAAAGCCGAUCCUAGUCCGGAUUGCAGUCUGNANCUCGACUGCAUGAAGUCGGAAUCGCUAGUAAUCGCGAAUCAAAAUGUCCGGGGAAAUACUUUCCCGGGUCUUGUACACACCG
rnacentral:rRNA from 1 species